rnacentral:rRNA from 1 species
UGUCACAGCUGCACGCUAUUAACGUACAACCUUUCUUCCCAAUUGAAAGUGCUUUACAACCCUAAGGCCUUCUUCACACACGCGGCAUGGCUGCGUCAGGCUUUCGCCCAUUGCGCAAUAUUCCCCA